rnacentral:tmRNA from 1 species
GGGGCUGAUCGGUUUCGACGUUGGGACCGGGAUGUGCCGACGUGCGACCGGAGUUGCUCAGACUCCCAAAACGGGGCACCAACAGAGACGCCGAUACGGACGAUCUCGUUCUCGCCGCCUGAUAAGUCAGUAGGCAGAGAAUCAUCGCGACCAGCAAUGGCACGCGGGGCCACACUGCCGCAGCCUGGCACCAGAAGCGGUAGUGGACAGCAGGGAGAGACCGCUGACUGACGGGAAAGACCCCUGACGCCGGAGAAAGUUCUGGUGGCGGGCCCUUGGGCCCAACUCACCCGGGAGCGUGGCAGCCAUGAGCCACACCCACGGGAAUGGUCGUAGCGCGGCGGGCAACCACCCGACGGACGAGGGUUCGAUUCCCUCCAGCUCCACCA